AUUGAUAAUGUUAUAUGACUAAAUACAUAAUUAAAUUGAAGAAUUAAAAACUUAUUAGGAUCCUAAUAAGAUUAGGAAUCCUAAACUUAUUAGUAGGAUCGAAAACCUAAACUUAUUAGUAGGAUCCUAAUAAGAUUAGGAAACCUAAGCUUAUUAGGAAACCUCACAAACCCUAUAAAUAAGACUUUGAGGUCUUAUUUUAAAUACAACAAAGACAUAAAUUCAUUAUACACAAAGGGAGUAUAGAGAAUUUUGGUGAUACAAAUUGGAGAAUUGUUCUUAAAUUCAACAUAAAGGUAUGUUUAUUUUAAUUGUUUAUGCACGAUUUGUUAUAUCGUAAAGUGAGAUAAAAGAAAGAAAGUUUUAUGUUAAAUUUAAGUUUAGUAUAAGUAAUAUGAAAAAGAAAAUUAAGAAGUAGGGGUAGAGACAAUUUAAGCAUUAGACUAAGUAGUGGAAUUGAGGUAUAUAUUAAAUGGAGUGAUUCUACCACCUAGGGCACCUAUGAUAACCAAUUCCAACUGUUGGAAACCUGAUUUAAUUUAUGAAAUUUUACUAAAAGAAUGUGAUGCAAAGAUAAAGGGGAGAGAGAAAAAGUUAAAAUAAGAAGAUAAUAAAGAAUGACUAUGAGUGAUAACUAUAUCACUAUGACAUAAUGAAAAUGAAAGAGGAGAAUAAAUUUGGACCAUAUGAAAGGUGACAGAUAUGGGCCAAUGGCUGCUUAGAACUUGAGAUCCACGGCUCCUUCCUUGUAGGAUAAGCAAUUAAUUCACCUCAAAUCCCACACUGCUUCUUCUUUCAUCUUCUUCCUACCUCUAACUGUCUAUAAAUAAUUCCAACAUUUAAAUCAUUAAUUUCCACAACCAAAAUCAACUUCUACAGGAUCUUCAAUAUGGGAUUCUCGCAAAUGUUCAGCUCCUGUUUUUCCCCCUCCAGAGUCUCCGACGAUCGCAAAGAUGAUCUUCCCGGGUCAAAGAAACCCAAACGACCCGUGAAGAAGGAGCGUAAGGAAGCUCCGAUUGUAGUUUCUUAUUUUCCUGUUGGUUCAUAUGCUUCUCGCUUGUAGCUGGUGAUCAAGACGCUUGCUGUGAAUUGGUUUCAAAAUAGGAAAGAAAGUACUCCAUGAGGGGGAAAAAAAAAAGAAAGCCAAUUCUAGAUUAUAUUAUUUUCGUCAUUAGAAUAUAUAUGAACAUAUGAUAUUCAAAGAAAUUUAUAUAUAUAUAUAUUGUGAUUUGCAAAUAUUGUUAGAUUAUAAAAUACUCUUUGGCAAGACAUUACCGAUCUGUCCUAUUAAUUACAAGGUGCAAAAUCUCUAAAACGUCCGAUCAAACGCACACCACAUGAACAUAAUGUUUUCUUGUUUUCUUUUUCGAAUAUUUACUCAAUAAUGAUAAUGACCACUUUUUUUUUAAAAGGAAAAAGAAUUAAGAAAGUAAUGAUAAUAUGAAUUGUUACCCAACUGAUAAAUUAAU
rnacentral:lncRNA from 1 species